rnacentral:lncRNA from 1 species
AUCCAAAUAGAAUAAAAUGCGCCUGUUCACUAUGAAUGCUAUAGACAAAGUCAAUAAAAAAUAUAUAUAUCAAUAUUUGAAAUUAAAAAAUUCUGCAACCACCUCAAGCAGUGACUUAAGAUAAUUAAGCAAUGAUAUGGUGAGAUGAUUGCAAAAUUUUUUAACUUAAAAUAUUGAUCUGAUAUUUUUUUCAUUGAUUUUGUCUAUAAUAUAUGUGGUAGACUAAGUCUACCAAGGAAGUCUUUGUUUCUGUGUGAAUCAGCCCUGCUUGUAAUGGCCGUUCUUUCCCCCGC